rnacentral:rRNA from 1 species
UACGUAGGGGCUAGCGUUAUCCGGAAUUACUGGGCUUAAAGGGUGCGUAGGUGGUUUCUUAAGUCAGAGGUGAAAGGCUACGGCUCAACCGUAGUAAGCCUUUGAAACUGUUAGACUUGAAUAUGGAUGAGGUAGGCGGAAUGUGUAGUGUAGCGGUGAAAUGCAUAGAUAUUACACAGAACACCGAUUGCGAAGGCAGCUUACUAAUCCAUCAUUGACGCUGAGGCACGAAAGCGUGGGGAUCAAACAGGAUUAGAUACCCUGGUA